rnacentral:lncRNA from 1 species
AAGUUCAUUCUUUCAAAUCGAUUCCGAACAACCUGAAAACCAAAAUCGAUGAUUGACACAAGUCAAAGUACAUUAUAUAGAGCUACUCAUACCCAUAAACUACUGAUAAAAUACGAAUAUUCAAAACGCCCGAUCGGGUCGUUACAAGCACUGUCUUAGUACAUUAUACAGAGCUACUCAUACCCAUAAACUACUGAUAAAAUACGAAUAUUCAAAACGCCCGAUCGGGUCGUUACAAGCACUGUCUGAUUUGCAAAUAAAGGCUAAGGCUAAUGUAUGUCUAAAUUAAAGAAGCAAUUAUCUUGAGCUUUUUGUAUUGUUUCUUGUUUUCUUUUCAUGUUCCAGUUUCCUUAUUUAAGAACUUAUAUAAUUAAUUCAUGUUCUAAGUUUAUUUCUUAGCGUACUUUAUACUUGAUCUUUAUAUAUAACUUCCAAAAGACGAUCAAAUUCUAUCUAUAAUAUACUUAUUCCCUCUUUUGAGCAGCAUUUUGGUAUAUUAUCCAGCUAUUACUGCUAGCAUGUCAUUCUCAAUUAAAUUAACUUGAUGGAAUGAGUUAGAACCAUUUGGGAACAAAAUACUAAAUCUAAGAAUAAAGGUUGUGCAAUCAGUAUCUAAAUGAAGUAAUGAUAUAUGGAAUAUUUGUGAAUGCAUGAAACCAUUUAUCGAUAUAAUAAAAUGGAACCCAAUACCUUAUGGUAAAAAAUCACAUAGAGAAUACAAUUUAUUAUUCGAUCACCAUCCCUCACUUAUUGAUUUCCAUUUGGCUUCUAGUGCCAAGACAAUUACUAGAUCAAGAAAUUGGUAAUUUUCCUAUCCAUGCUUUAAUGGCCAAAGGGAGGAUUUUCACUCUUGAAAAAAUGCCUUUCGCGAAGGAUUUGUGGUCCAUUCUUUGGUGGUGGGUUCGUAUUGCCCCCUUGAGAUGGCCCAGAUGGUGGUACUACAUUAUUUAAGAUAAUUUUUCCUUCUUUUUUCAUCAUCACCAAUCGAUCAGUAAGGGCGUCACUACCCACUAUAAGGAAAAGCAGAAAGAAAAUAGUUGUGCUAGGGCAACAUAAUUUUAGAGAAGAACAUUUCUUAAACAUAGACAUGAUAAAUGGAUGGGAG